GAUGAACGCUGGCGGCGUGCCUAAUACAUGCAAGUCGAGCGAACGGACGAGGAGCUUGCUCCUCUGACGUUAGCGGCGGACGGGUGAGUAACACGUGGAUAACCUACCUAUAAGACUGGGAUAACUUCGGGAAACCGGAGCUAAUACCGGAUAAUAUAUUGAACCGCAUGGUUCAAUAGUGAAAGACGGUUUUGCUGUCACUUAUAGAUGGAUCCGCGCCGCAUUAGCUAGUUGGUAAGGUAACGGCUUACCAAGGCAACGAUGCGUAGCCGACCUGAGAGGGUGAUCGGCCACACUGGAACUGAGACACGGUCCAGACUCCUACGGGAGGCAGCAGUAGGGAAUCUUCCGCAAUGGGCGAAAGCCUGACGGAGCAACGCCGCGUGAGUGAUGAAGGUCUUCGGAUCGUAAAACUCUGUUAUUAGGGAGGAACAAAUGUGUAAGUAACUAUGCACGUCUUGACGGUACCUAAUCAGAAAGCCACGGCUAACUACGUG
rnacentral:rRNA from 1 species